CCUACGGGUGGCAGCAGUGGGGAAUAUUGGACAAUGGGGGCAACCCUGAUCCAGCCAUGCCGCGUGUGUGAAGAAGGCCCUCGGGUUGUAAAGCACUUUCAGUGAGGAAGAACGCCUGGUGGUUAAUACCCAUCAGGAAAGACAUCACUCACAGAAGAAGCACCGGCUAACUCCGUGCCAGCAGCCGCGGUAAUACGGAGGGUGCGAGCGUUAAUCGGAAUUACUGGACGUAAAGCGCGCGUAGGUGGCUUGAUAAGCCGGUUGUGAAAGCCCCGGGCUCAACCUGGGAACGGCAUCCGGAACUGUCAAGCUAGAGUGCAGGAGAGGAAGGUAGAAUUCCCGGUGUAGCGGUGAAAUGCGUAGAGAUCGGGAGGAAUACCAGUGGCGAAGGCGGCCUUCUGGACUGACACUGACACUGAGGUGCGAAAGCGUGGGUAGCAAACAGGAUUAGAUACCCGAGUAGUC
rnacentral:rRNA from 1 species